GAUGAACGCUAGCUACAGGCUUAACACAUGCAAGUCGAGGGGCAGCAUGAACUUAGCUUGCUAAGUUUGAUGGCGACCGGCGCACGGGUGAGUAACACGUAUCCAACCUGCCGAUGACUCGGGGAUAGCCUUUCGAAAGAAAGAUUAAUACCCGAUGGCAUAGUUCUUCCGCAUGGUAGAACUAUUAAAGGAUUUCGGUCAUCGAUGGGGAUGCGUUCCAUUAGGUUGUUGGCGGGGUAACGGCCCACCAAGCCUUCGAUGGAUAGGGGUUCUGAGAGGAAGGUCCCCCCACAUUGGAACUGAGACACGGUCCAAACUCCUACGGGAGGCAGCAGUGAGGAAUAUUGGUCAAAUGGACGAGAGUCUGAACCAGCCAAGUAGCGUGAAGGAUGACUGCCCUAUGGGUUGUAAACUUCUUUUAUACGGGAAUAAAGUGAGGCACGCGUGCCUUUUUGUAUGUACCGUAUGAAUAAGGAUCGGCUAACUCCGUGCCAGCAGCCGCGGU
rnacentral:rRNA from 1 species